rnacentral:rRNA from 1 species
GCCGCCGCGGUAAAACCAGCACCUCGAGUGGUCAGGAGGUUUAUGGGCCUAAAGCAUCCGUAGCCGGUUGCAUAAGUUUUCGGUUAAAUCUAUGCGCUUAACGUAUAGGCCGCCGAAAAUACUGUGCAGCUAGGGANNNNGAGAGGUACACGGUACUCGAUAGGAAGGGGUAAAAUCCUUUGAUCUAUUGAUGACCACCUGUGGCGAAGGCGGUGUACCAGAACACGUUCGACGGUGAGGGAUGAAAGCUGGGGGAGCAAACCGGAUUAGAUACCCGGGUAGUCCCAGCUGUAAACGAUGCAGACUCGGUGAUGCAUUGGCUUGUGGCCAAUGCAGUGCCGCAGGGAAGCCGUUAAGUCUGCCGCCUGGGAAGUACGUACGCAAGUAUGAAACUUAAAGGAAUCGGCGGGGGAGCACCACAAGGGGUGAAGCCUGCGGNNNNNUUGGAGUCAACGCCAGAAAUCUUACCUGGGGAGACAGCAGAAUGAAGGUCAANNNNNNGACUUUACCAGACACGCUGAGAGGUGGUGCAUGGCCGNNNNCAGCUCGUGC